rnacentral:rRNA from 1 species
UACGGAGGGUGCAAGCGUUAUCCGGAUUCACUGGGUUUAAAGGGUGCGUAGGUGGGUUGGUAAGUCAGUGGUGAAAUCUCCGUGCUUAACAUGGAAACUGCCAUUGAUACUACUGAUCUUGAAUUUUCAGGAGGUAAGCGGAAUAUGUCAUUUAGCGGUGAAAUGCUUAGAUAUGACAUAGAACACCAAUUGCGAAGGCAGCUUACUACAGGAAUAUUGACACUGAUGCACGAAAGCGUGGGGAUCAAACAGG